AGAAUCAACGCUGGCGGCGUGCCUAACACAUGCAAGUCGAACGAGAAAGUGGGAGCAAUCCCACGAGUAAAGUGGCGCACGGGUGAGUAACACGUGACUAACCUACCCUUGAGUGGGGGAUAACCUAGGGAAACCUGGGCUAAUACCGCAUAAUACCUACGGGUCAAAGGAGCAAUUCGCUUAAGGAGGGGGUCGCGGCAGAUUAGUUAGUUGGCGGGGUAAUGGCCCACCAAGACAGUGAUCUGUAUCCGGCCUGAGAGGGCGCACGGACACACUGGAACUGAAACACGGUCCAGACUCCUACGGGAGGCAGCAGUGGGGAAUUUGCGCAAUGGGGGAAACCCUGACGCAGCAACGCCGCGUGGAGGAUGAAGCCCCUUGGGGCGUAAACUCCUUUCGAUCGGGAAGAUAAUGACGGUACCGGAAGAAGAAGCCCCGGCUAACUUCGCGCCAGCAGCCGC
rnacentral:rRNA from 1 species